rnacentral:rRNA from 1 species
AUUGAACGCCGGCGGCACGCUUUACACAUGCAAGUCGAACGGUAACAGGGAGCUUGCUCCGCUGACGAGUGGCGAACGGGUGAGUAAUGCGUCGGAACGUGCCGAGUAGUGGGGGAUAACGCAUCGAAAGGUGUGCUAAUACCGCAUACGUACUGAGGUAGAAAGUGGGGGGCCUUCGGGCCUCACGCUAUUCGAGCAGCCGACGUCUGAUUAGCUAGUAGGUGAGGUAAAGGCUCACCUAGGCGACGAUCAGUAGCGGGUCUGAGAGGAUGAUCCGCCACACUGGGACUGAGACACGGCCCAGACUCCUACGGGAGGCAGCAGUGGGGAAUUUUGGACAAUGGGCGAAAGCCUGAUCCAGCCAUGCCGCGUGUCUGAAGAAGGCCUUCGGGUUGUAAAGGACUUUUGUCGGGGAGGAAAUCCCCAGCGCUAAUACCGCUGGGGGAUGACAGUACCUGAAGAAUAAGCACCGGCUAACUACGUGCCAGCAGCCGCAGUAACAC